GACGAACGCUGGCGGCGUGCUUAACACAUGCAAGUCGAACGGAAAGGCCCUGCUUUUGUGGGGUGCUCGAGUGGCGAACGGGUGAGUAACACGUGAGUAACCUGCCCUUGACUUUGGGAUAACUUCAGGAAACUGGGGCUAAUACCGGAUAGGAGCUCCUGCUGCAUGGUGUGGGUUGGAUAGGUUCGGCGGUUGGGGAUGGACUCGCGGCUUAUCAGCUUGUUGGUGGGGUAGUGGCUUACCAAGGCUUUGACGGGUAGCCGGCCUGAGAGGGUGACCGGCCACAUUGGGACUGAGAUACGGCCCAGACUCCUACGGGAGGCAGCAGUGGGGAAUAUUGCACAAUGGGCGGAAGCCUGAUGCAGCAACGCCGCGUGCGGGAUGACGGCCUUCGGGUUGUAAACCGCUUUCGCCUGUGACGAAGCGUGAGUGACGGUAAUGGGUAAAGAAGCACCGGCUAACUACGUG
rnacentral:rRNA from 1 species